rnacentral:lncRNA from 1 species
CUCAUGGGGGUGGGGAGAGCUGCUUGGAGAGGGGCUACACUUCCGUUGGGAGCCAACCAUGCCCUUUGUACGCUUUUCUUCCUUCAUUCCUCACAUCGUCCUGCAAAGGGGGCUGCUUCUGUCUGUUCUCCUAUGUGCAAGCCAAGGCACAGAGAUGUCAAGUAACUUGGACACUGUCACACAGCAGAUCGUGGCACUAGAGGUCUGUCUUCUGGGGGAUGUGCUUUUCACCACAGGGAGGUUCCUGUGUUCUGCACAGAGAGCAGGCCUGGGGGCAGAAGGGAUCCUCCCAUAAAGGGGCUCUGAUUCCGGAGCCCCUUUCAUCCUCCUAGAAGGAAAAAAACCAGCUACUAGCCCCGCCCCUUUGUUCUUGGCAGCCACUUUCUUCCCCCAACCCCAGUUGCUUCUGGCUGAGCCAUCAGCUCACUGAUUUAAACCUGAACGCCAUCCAGACAUACCAGCAGUGUGCACUUGUCUUUUGCCCAUCACAGGCUGUUUUCAGACUCGGGGUGGGGAGUGUCUGCUAUUCCUGUGUCACGUCAGGUCUGUGACUGUCACUUGGCUUCUCAGAAGCUCAGUAUCUGCAGGACAGGUCCAUGUCCCACGUGCGAAGACACGGGCUAGGGGCUUCGUUCUUGGGGCUGCCCUUGUCCGCUUGGGAUUCUGCAGGCAGAAGGUGCCAGGUUCCGAGGUGGCUCUGGGUGGAGUGAAGCCUGGUCCUUCCCGGGCAUGCCUUGGCGGGGGUGGGGGGUGAAGCCGGCCACUGACCAGGCCAUGCAUUGGAGAGAAUCGUGUCGCUGUGGAGUUCCUGCAGCCACCUGACUGGCCACAGCGCAUCCCCCCAGAGGGGGACAGUGUCAGGCAGGGGCCACCGUCUACACCUCAGCUUGCCUGGGCCGGCCAACUGCUGACUCACCGGAGGGUGUUCGAGGACAGCAAGAAAAAUGAGGGACUUUCAGGGGCAGCUGUGUUUUCUGACUCAGUCAUAAUGCCCCUAAAAAUCCUUAUUGUUCUUGCAGUGUUCAUCGGGCAGCAGCACCUGCCUGCCCCUGCCCACCUGGUGGCUCUGGGACGCGAAGGGCCCCCCGGGAUCUGGUUGGGGUGUCCUCCCCCCAUCCUUCGGAAAUGAGACGAAGGGGGACGUGCUGAGGAUGACAGCAUUUUGUUGGGCAGUGCGCUGAGUUGCGUGUGCUUUUAUCAUUUCUUUUUUGGUGGUGGACUGGGGAGGGCGGGGCAGCGAGCCGUCCCUGUGCGGAUUGGAGCCCAGGAGGACGCGGGGGCUCCUGCUUUGUGAG